rnacentral:rRNA from 2 species
AUGGUUAAGUUAGAAAGGGCGCACGGUGAAUGCCUUGGCACUAGGAGCCGAUGAAGGACGGGACUAACACCGAUAUGCUUCGGGGAGCUGUAAGUGAGCUUUGAUCCGGAGAUUUCCGAAUGGGGAAACCCACUGUUCGUAAUGGAACAGUAUCUUUAUCUGAAUACAUAGGAUAUUGARGGCAGACCCGGGGAACUGAAACAUCUAAGUACCCGGAGGAAGAGAAAGCAAAUGCGAUUUCCUGAGUAGCGGCGAGCGAAACGGAAUUAGCCCAAACCAAGAGGCUUGCCUCUUGGGGUUGUAGGACACUCUAUACGGAGUUACAAAGGAACGAAGUAAAUGAAGCGACCUGGAAAGGUCCGUCGAAGAAGGUAACAACCCUGUAGUUGAAACUUCGUUCCCUCUUGAGUGGAUCCUGAGUACGGCGGAACACGUGAAAUUCCGUCGGAAG